GACGAACGCUGGCGGCGUGCUUAACACAUGCAAGUCGAACGGAAAGGCCCUGCUUUUGUGGGGUGCUCGAGUGGCGAACGGGUGAGUAACACGUGAGUAACCUGCCCUUGACUUUGGGAUAACUUCAGGAAACUGGGGCUAAUACCGGAUAGGAGCUCCUGCUGCAUGGUGGGGGUUGGAAAGUUUCGGCGGUUGGGGAUGGACUCGCGGCUUAUCAGCUUGUUGGUGGGGUAGUGGCUUACCAAGGCUUUGACGGGUAGCCGGCCUGGGAGGGUGACCGGCCACAUUGGGACUGGGAUACGGCCCAGACUCCUACGGGAGGCAGCAGUGGGGAAUAUUGCACAAUGGGCGGAAGCCUGAUGCAGCAACGCCGCGUGGGGGAUGACGGCCUUCGGGUUGUAAACCGCUUUCGCCUGGGACGAAGCGUGAGUGACGGUAAUGGGUAGAGAAGCACCGGCUAACUACGUG
rnacentral:rRNA from 1 species